GACGAACCGUGCGAACGUUGUUCGGAAUCACUGGGCUUAAAGGGCGCGUAGGCGGCCCGCUAAGUCGAACGUGAAAUCCCCGAGCUCAACUCGGGAACUGCGUCCGAUACUGGCGGGCUUGAAUCCGGGAGAGGGAUGCGGAAUUCCAGGUGUAGCGGUGAAAUGCGUAGAUAUCGGGAGGAACAUCAGUGGCGAAGGCGGCCCUCUGGUCCAGUACUGACACUCAAGUGCGAAAGCGUGGGGAGCAAACAGG
rnacentral:rRNA from 1 species